rnacentral:tRNA from 1 species
GGACAGUUGGCAGAGUGGUUGAAUGCACCGGUCUUGAAAACCGGCAUGGGUGCAAGCCCAUCCAGGGUUCGAAUCCCUGACUGUCCGCCA